rnacentral:rRNA from 1 species
GAUGAACGCUGGCGGUAUGCCUAACACAUGCAAGUCGAACGAAGUCUUUCGAGACUUAGUGGCGGACGGGUGAGUAACGCGUGAGAAUCUGCCAUUUGGAUGGGGAUAACAGAGGGAAACUUCUGCUAAGACCCAAUAUGCAUACAAUGUAUGUGAAAUAAUUUAUUGCCAAAUGAGGAGCUCGCGUCCGAUUAGUUAGUUGGUGGGGUAAAAGCCUACCAAGGCAGCGAUCGGUAGCUGGUCUGAGAGGAUGAG